rnacentral:rRNA from 1 species
CGGCGAGCGACCAGGAAUUAGCCCGACACCGAAUCCUAUACCGUCAAGGUAAUGGGAGUUGUGGUGGAUAGGAUUAUAUCUUUGGCAGUUAGGUUAACUUGAAAUUCGCUUGAAUGCGAUAUGUCCAUAGAGGGUGCCAGACCUGUUCGAGUUAACGUGAUUGUUAUUGAUGUUUUCCAAUGAGUAGGAUUGUUUGGGAAUGCAGUCCAAAUUGGGUGGUAGAUUCCAUCUAAGGCUAAAUACUUGUCUGAGUCCGAUAGUAAACAAGUACCGUGAGGGAAAGUUGAAAAGAACUUUGAAGAGAGAGUUAAAUAGCACGUGAAAUCGCUUAGGGGUAAACGAGUAGAGCCGAAGGUUGGUGUAUGGAAUUCAGCUAUUUAUUGAUUUAAAUGGUGGGGCUUAAUUAUGCAAAUUUUAACCACACUGAAUAAUCGAAAAUKAGUAAUUAGUGCAUUUUCUAUACAUCAAAUGUGCGACCGAUAUGAAACUUUUCUGUCGUAGAGAUGAAGUUAUCCUUGUCUUCGGAUGAGGCUUUAUAGCUUUCUGCAUAGUCAAGUUUUGUCUCGGUGACAAAAAUCAAUCAAAUUCCCGAUUGUGUAUAUUGAUGGCUGUUGUAUUGGCUUUUUUCGGAAAGACUGUAUGAUUGUCGUUGAUGCAUACGAGAUUUGRGAAUGAUUGGUGCAAAGUCAGCAUUGCUAUGUAGGCAAUCUACUCGUCCCGUCUUGAAACACGGACCAAGGAGUUUUUUAUACUUGCAAGUCAAAGGGCUUUACGAAACCCCACGGCGUAAUGAAAGUAAAAUACUUACAAUUUCGUAAGUAAAGCAUGACCUCUGUGGUAUCCCCGCAGAGAGCAAUGUUGCCCUGUUCAAAGGUGUUCGCACCUGAGCAGAGGUAGAGCAAGUAUGAAGAGACCCGAAAGAUGGUGAACUUUGGUUGUGCAGGUUGAAGCCAGAGGAAACUCUGGUGGAGGACCGAAGCAGUUCUGACGUGCAAAUCGAUUGCCAGACAUGACCAAAGGGGCGAAAGACUAAUCGAACCAUCUAGUAGCUGGUUCCCUCCGAAGUUUCCCUCAGGAUAGCUGGCGCUGGUUAAAUAUAGUUAUAUCCGGUAAAGCGAAUGAUUAGAAGUAUCUGGGUCUAAACGUCCUAGACUUAUUCUCAAACUUUAAAUGGGUAUGAUGUACUGCUCUCUUUAUUGGAGUAGUACGGAUAAUAACAGUGCUUAGUGGGCCAUUUUUGGUAAGCAGAACUGGCGAUGUGGGAUGAACCAAACAUCCAGUUAAGGUGCCUAAUUCAUGCUCAUGAGAUACCACAAAAGGUGUUGGUUGAUAAAGACAGCAGGACGGUGGACAUGGAAGUUGUCAUCCGCUAAGGAGUGUGUAACAACUCACCUGCCGAAUCAACCAGCCCUGAAAAUGGAUGGCGCUGUAGCAUGGAACCUAUACUGGAUCGACACGGUAAGCAAUUUUGCGAGUAUGCCGUGUCGUGUAGGAGGGUGCCGUGAUAGCGUGGAAGCUACUGGCGUAAGUCAGGGUGGAGCUGUUACGGGUACAGAU